rnacentral:rRNA from 1 species
AGGCGUUGAGCUAACCAGUACUAAUUGCCCGUGUGGCUUGACCAU